CCUCGCGCAGCCCGCCUCCCGCCAUCAGCCGCCAUCCAGCGCCCCACGUCCCUCUCCCGCCACCCGCUGCGGCUUUCCUCCCGGCCGGCCAAAUGCAGGCCGCUGUCCUCCCUGAGGAGAUCCGUUGGCUCCUGGAAGAUACUGAAGAUUUCCUGGCAGAAGGUUUGCGGAAUGAGAGCCUCAGUCCUGGUGUGAGGGACCACAGAGACUACAUUCUACGGGGCUUUCAGCAACUCAAGGCUAGAUACUGUUGGGAUUUUCAGCCACAAGGUGAGUACUCUUUGACCAUGUAU